rnacentral:rRNA from 1 species
GAUGAACGCUGGCGGCGUGCCUAAUACAUGCAAGUCGAGCGAACGGACGAGAAGCUUGCUUCUCUGAUGUUAGCGGCGGACGGGUGAGUAACACGUGGAUAACCUACCUAUAAGACUGGGAUAACUUCGGGAAACCGGAGCUAAUACCGGAUAAUAUUUUGAACCGCAUGGUUCAAAAGUGAAAGACGGUCUUGCUGUCACUUAUAGAUGGAUCCGCGCUGCAUUAGCUAGUUGGUAAGGGAACGGCUUACCAAGGCAACGAUGGAUAGCCGACCUGAGAGGGUGGACGGCCACAGUGGGAAGGAGAAAGGGCCAAGACUGCUAGGGGAGGGAGCAGUGGGGAAUAGUGAACAAUGGGCGGAAGGCUGAUGCAGAGACGCCGCGUGGGGGAUGAAGGCGUUCGGGGUGUAAACUCCUUUCACCAGCGACGAAGGUUUUCUGACGGUAGAUGGAGAAGAAGCACCGGCUAACUACGUG